UAGGGAAUCUUCCACAAUGGACGCAAGUCUGAUGGAGCAACNCCGCGUGAGUGAAGAAGGUUCGUUCGGAUACGUAAACUCUGUUGUUAAAGAAGAACACGUAUGAGAGUAACUGUUCAUACGUUGACGGUAUUUAACCAGAAAGUCACGGCUAACUACGUGCCAG
rnacentral:rRNA from 1 species